rnacentral:tRNA from 1 species
GGCACUGUGGCCGAGUGGUUUAAGGCGCCAGGUCGAGGUCCUGGUAUCUCCGGAUGCGCGAGUUCGAAUCCCGCCGGUGUCA